CCGGGAGCCAAGGUUACCAACAGCCCCUCGGCGGAGGACGAGGAGCCAGAGGGGCUCCGGCCAGGGUCUCCUGGAUGGGAGCGGGGCUACCCGAGCGCUAACCCUGGCAAAGCUCAACAAGAAAGCACGGCUUCCUCCAAGGGAAGUGCAAAAGGGGACAAGUUGGAGCUCAGCGUGGGCCUUGUAGGGGCUCUGCCCCCCGUCACUCCUACCAGCCCAGCUGAAGCUCUGGCUGAGGGCGUUCUCACUCAGUUGACAGCUCAGCGUCCCUCUGGGCUGUCCUUCCAGUCAGGAUCAGACAGUGCGCCACAGUGCCUCCUGCUGGAGAGGCGUAGUGAGGCUGAAGCUGAGGCUCAGCUGGUCCAGGAGCGCACAGCAGACAUCAGCUCCCCUCAGGACCAUGUCCUCACCCAUCCAGGGACACCCACAGACCCCCUGGCUGAGGUGCUGGUCAAUGGAGACAUCCACACCAAAGCUCAAAGCCCUGUUUCAAACCGCGUGUCUUCCCCACGCUCCCCACGCUCUCCUCGCUCGGUUCCCCUGCGCUCGCCUUCCUCUCCACGCUCGCCACACUCCCCUUGCUCUCCUCGCUCUCCUUGCUCCCCUCGCUCUCCUCGCAGCCCUGUGUUUGCCAAUGGCCACCUCUCCCCUCCUGGUAACAGCCAAAGGGAUUUAAGUAACGGAGCGUUCCCCAGGCUGAAAGACCCCGAGAAGGAUUCUGGCCCGACCCUCUGUGCCACAGAGCCUCUGCUAAGGGGGGAGGUUAGUAGAGAAGUGAACCAUGCCCCAGAUCAGACCAACGGACCAGUGUCCUCCUCCCCGGUUGCCCCCCGUAAGGACCCCAGCCGGAGGCACAGUCGCAUCCCAGUCCUGGAGCCCUCCAGCCUGCUGGAGCUCCCUCCUGCAGGGUCUGCUAAGGAGAAACUCCUGCAGAAGAAAGCUAACCACCCGGGCCCGGCC
rnacentral:lncRNA from 1 species